rnacentral:tRNA from 1 species
GAGGGUAUAGCUCAAGUGGUAGAGCCCAUGCUUAGCAUACACAAGGUCCUGGGUUCAAUCCCCAGUAUCUCCU